CCCUUAGAUGUUCUGGGCGGCCCGCGCACUACAAUGGCGUGUGCAGCGAGUGCCGAAGUAGAGUUUUCCGAGGUAUUCUUGCAAUGCUCGUUUUGAUGGGGAUAGACCCUUGCAACUGUUGGUUUUGAACGAGGAAUUCCUUGUAAGCAUGGUUUAUCAUCCGACGCUGAAUACGUCCCUGCCCUUUGUACACACCGCCCGUCGCUCCUACCGAUGAAUCGUCCGGUGAAGUUCACAGAGUGGCGGUUCGUGGAGUUGCUCGCGAAGUGAAAUGGACCUCACGAUUUAGAGGAAGGAGAAGUCGUAACA
rnacentral:rRNA from 1 species